rnacentral:rRNA from 1 species
CAGUAGCCACGGUAAUACAGAGGGUGCAAGCGUUAAUCGGAAUUACUGGGCGUAAAGCGCGCGUAGGUGGUUUGUUAAGUUGGAUGUGAAAUCCCCGGGCUCAACCUGGGAACUGCAUCCAAAACUGGCAAGCUAGAGUAUGGUAGAGGGUGGUGGAAUUUCCUGUGUAGCGGUGAAAUGCGUAGAUAUAGGAAGGAACACCAGUGGCGAAGGCGACCACCUGGACUGAUACUGACACUGAGGUGCGAAAGCGUGGGGAGCAAACAGGAUUAGAUACCCCCGUAGUCCCUGUCUCUAUACA